GAUGAACGCUGGCGGCGUGCCUAAUACAUGCAAGUCGAGCGAACAGACGAGGAGCUUGCUCCUCUGACGUUAGCGGCGGACGGGUGAGUAACACGUGGAUAACCUACCUAUAAGACUGGGAUAACUUCGGGAAACCGGAGCUAAUACCGGAUAAUAUAUUGAACCGCAUGGUUCAAUAGUGAAAGACGGUUUUGCUGUCACUUAUAGAUGGAUCCGCGCCGAAUUAGCUAGUUGGUAAGGUAACGGCUUACCAAGGCAACGAUGCGUAGCCGACCUGAGAGGGUGAUCGGCCAAACUGGAACUGAGACACGGUCCAGACUCCUACGGGAGGAAGCAGUAGGGAAUCUUCCGCAAUGGGCGAAAGCCUGACGGAGAAACGCCGCGUGAGUGAUGAAGGUCUUCGGAUCGUAAAACUCUGUUAUUAGGGAAGAACAAAUGUGUAAGUAAAUAUGCACGUCUUGACGGUACCUAAUCAGAAAGCCACGGCUAACUACGUG
rnacentral:rRNA from 1 species